CAGGAGGCCCAGGCUAAAGGAGCACCUCAGGUUAAAGGGGCGGGCCAGGCUAAAGGGGCGGCUCAGGUUAAAGGAGCGGCUAAAGUUAAAGGGGCGCCUCAGGUUAAAGGGGUGGCCCAGGCUAAAGGGGCAGCCCAGGCUAAAGGGGCAGCCCAGGCUAAAGGGGCAGCUCAGGUUAAAGGGGCGCCUCAGGUUAAAGGGCCGGUCAGGUUAAAGGGGCGGGCCAGGCUAAAGGGGCGGCUCAGGUUAAAGGAGCGGCUCAAGUUAAAGGGGUGCCUCAGGUUAAAGGGGCGGCUCAGGUUAAAGGGGCGCCUCAGGUUAAAGGGGCGGCCCAGGCUAAAUUCAGACAGGGCUGGGCCUUUAGAAGUAUGUGUGAGAAAUCAGACAUAAUAAUAAUAAUAGUCUUUCUAGUCCACAGAUGUGGAAAUUUGAGGUUUGAGGUAAAAAACAUCACAAUAUAUAACACUGGUAAUUGAAAUCACAGCACAUUUACACGUAUAAGGGCAGUGAGCAGGUUCUCAGGUGUGUCUGGACUGGUGCCCCGAGACAAGGGGACGUGAACUGCAGCAGGAUAAGCGGGGGGUAGAUGGCUGGAUGGAUAAAGGAGACU